ACUGAACGCUGGCGGCAGGCUUAACACAUGCAAGUCGAGCGGGGUGAUGGUGCUUGCACUAUCACUUAGCGGCGGACGGGUGAGUAAUGCUUAGGAAUCUGCCUAUUAGUGGGGGACAACAUCUCGACAGGGAUGCUAAUACCGCAUACGUCCUACGGGAGAAAGCAGGGGAUCUUCGGACCUUGCGCUAAUAGAUGAGCCUAAGUCGGAUUAGCUAGUUGGGGGGGUAAAGGCAUACCAAGGCGACGAUCUGUAGCGGGUCUGGGAGGAUGAUCCGCCACACUGGGACUGAGACACGGCCCAGACUCCUACGGGAGGCAGCAGUGGGGAAUAUUGGACAAUGGGGGGAACCCUGAUCCAGCCAUGCCGCGUGUGUGAAGAAGGCCUUAUGGUUGUAAAGCACUUUAAGCGAGGAGGAGGCUACUGAGACUAAUACUCUUGGAUAGUGGACGUUACUCGCAGAAUAAGCACCGGCUAACUCUGUGCCAGCAGCCGCCGUAA
rnacentral:rRNA from 1 species